GGAAUCUGCCCAGUCGUGGGGGAUAACGUAGGGAAACUUACGCUAAUACCGCAUGCGCCCUUCGGGGGAAAGCCGGGGACCUUCGGGCCUGGCGCGAUUGGAUGAGCCCACGUCGGAUUAGCUAGUUGGCGGGGUAACGGCCCACCAAGGCGACGAUCCGUAGCUGGUCUGAGAGGAUGAUCAGCCACACUGGAACUGAGACACGGUCCAGACUCCUAC
rnacentral:rRNA from 1 species